UGAACUCACAGUUUAACAUAAUGGACAUAUCGGCCAGACUGCUGAUUAUCUUACUGUUCUGGGGAGGUGUUGAUGGUCAGACUCUGACAGAAUCUGAACCAGUCAUUAAAAGGCCUGGAGAGUCCCACAGACUGACCUGCACAGCCUCUGGAUUCACAUUUAGCAGCUAUGAUAUGCACUGGGUCCGACAGGCUCCUGGGAAAGUACUGGAAUGGGUUGCCGAAGUUAGUACUGGUAGUAGCAAAUACUACUCUCAGUCAGUCCAAGGCCGGUUUACCAUCUCCAGAGACAACAGCAAACAGCAGGUGUAUCUGCAGAUGAACAGCCUGAAGACUGAAGACUCUGCUGUUUAUUAUUGUGCUCGAGAGUCACAGUGACUGAAGUUCUUUGAGCAGCUGUACAAAAUGCUUUAUCCUGUCUACAUGUAUCUCAUAUGUUUGAUAUAGUAUGGUUAAAGAAAAUUAUAUAUUUCAGUUUUUCUCAUUUUCAGAAUUCUUUUACAGAAUAAUACACAAUAAUUUCUUUGUCCCAAUUUUUAGUGUACAAAUUAGAUAUUUAAGAACAUUCAACUUUGUAGACUGUUGUUGCAUGAGUUAUCUACUGAGGGGUGUAUUUGUGUUACAUCCUCUCCUUUUAUAACCUGUAGAGUGACAAAUUCCCAAAGACAAGAAGAGAGAGCAGCUAAAUUGGGUCUUAAUGGUACUCCAAACAGAGA